GCAGUGCCAGUCGAAGACCAAGGCUGAGACGGCACCCUAGGAAAGCGAAGCCAUUCAAUACGAAGUAUUGUAUAAAUAGAGAACAGCAG
rnacentral:sRNA from 1 species